AACUGUCAAUGAUGGACAAUGUUAAACAUUGGGAAUCUCUCUGAAAAGAGUGAAAGACAACUUUUUACUGAUGCAGUG
ensembl:snoRNA SNORD79 Small nucleolar RNA SNORD79